rnacentral:lncRNA from 1 species
UUUGAUUUUUUUUUUCACGUUAUGUGAAUAUUUAACCUUUUCUUAUUAUAUUUGAACCGUAUGAGCUAAAUUAAACCUCACCCAUUGGUUUAGAACUUUAUUGUAUUACAAUAAAAUUAUAGUAACUAAAUUUUACUUUAAUCAUAGAUGACCAUGUACUAAGAAAGUGAGAAUAUUAUAACGAAUUGUGACUUAAAGCGUAUAAUCUAAAAUGAAUAAUUCUUCAGCUCUAAGAUAUAUUUGAAGUUUGGAUAGACGUUGGU